rnacentral:ncRNA from 1 species
GUUUCCGGUCUCAAUGAGUGAAAAGGGAAUCCAGUGGAAAUCUGGAGCUGACGCGCAGCGGUAAGGACUGGCGGGAUGAAUGUUGUAGACACUGUGAAAAUGGGAAGUCUUCAUCCAUAUAACGCCACCCAGCCCGAAGACCUGCCGGGAUC